AACGUAGGAGGCGAGCGUUAUCCGGAUUUACUGGGCGUAAAGCGUGUGCAGGUGGUUCGGCAAGUUGGAUGUGAAAGCUCCUGGCUUAACUAGGAGAGGUCGUUCAAUACUACCGAACUUGAAGGCAUCAGAGGAAGAUGGAAUUCCCGGUGUAGUGGUGAAAUGCGUAGAUAUCGGGAGGAACACCAGUGGCGAAGGCGGUCUUCUGGGAUGUUCUUGACACUCAUACACGAAAGCUAGGGUAG
rnacentral:rRNA from 1 species